rnacentral:rRNA from 1 species
CAGGCCUAACACAUGCAAGUCGAACGGGCAGUAGCAAUACUGCUAGUGGCGCACGGGUGCGUAACACGUAACUAAUCUACCUACAACUGGGGGAUAGCCCGCCGAAAGGCGGAUUAAUACCGCAUAACAUAAGGUGGCGGCAUCGUCUCUUUAUUAAAGAUUUAUUGGUUGUAGAUGAGGUUGCGGGUCAUUAGCUAGUUGGUAAGGUAACGGCUUACCAAGGCGACGAUGACUAGGGGAGCUGAGAGGCUGGUCCCCCACACGGGCACUGAGAUACGGGCCCGACUCCUACGGGAGGCAGCAGUAGGGAAUAUUGGGCAAUGGGCGAGAGCCUGACCCAGCCAUGCCGCGUGCAGGAAGAAGGCUUUCUGAGUCGUAAACUGCUUUUGAUAGGGAAGAAUAAGCUUGACGUGUCAAGUGAUGACGGUACCUACAGAAUAAGCACCGGCUAACUCCGUGCCAGCAGCCGCGGUAAU